AGACAAUUAGAACGGGAUCCUUCUGACUCAGACCUACAGACAGAUAAUAUGAUGAGACAAAAGUCAGCAUUUAUCCUGACUGUACAGCACUGUGGAUCUUCUGAGCAGGUCUGUUAGCCAUGCAAGCCAGAGCCAGACACUCAGUUAGAAAGAAGCUCCGUGUCUGUCAACGCCACCUCAAGUCAGCGCAGAUGGAGAACUCUUCCAGUGAACUUAUUUUUUUGCUAAGUGGCUUGAAUGAGACUAAAACAAAGAGACAAAUCUUUUUUGGCCUUUCCAUCCUUGCCUAUGUUUUCACCAUUUUUGUGAAUUUAACUCUGAUUUUGACCAUAUUGUUGGAGAAGAUUCUCCAUGAGCCCAUGUUCAUCUUCCUGUGUAAUCUGUGUGUAAACAGCAUUUGUGGCUCUACAAGUUUCUAUCCAAAGCUACUGAUUGACCUUCUGUCAGACUCUCAUGUGAUCUCAUACACUGCAUGUAUAAUUCAAAUAUUUGGAAUCUACAUAUAUGUCUUCUGUGAAAGUACCAAUUUAUCAGUAAUGGCUUAUGACAGGUAUGUUGCAAUAUGCAAACCGUUAGAGUAUCACUCUAUUAUGACGCCUCGGAGAGUAGGAAUGUUAUUGCAAAUUACAUGGUUCUUAACUUUCAUUGAGACAAUUGUUGGCAUUGUGCUUUUAGUCAGGCUACCCUUGUGUGGAUCCAGAAUUGAUAAGCUUUAUUGUUUUGACUGGGAUGUGGUGAAGCUGUCCUGUAUUGAUAACACCUUAAACAAUGUGUUUGCCUUGGUCAUCAUGGUUUUUCAUAUAUGUCAAAUCCUGAUAAUCAUAAUUUCCUAUGUCCUCAUCAUCAAGAUAUGUGUACGGUCUCAGGCAGAGCGUAAUAAGUUCAUGGAGACCUGCCUGCCUCAUCUUAUCACUCUGGGUAUCUUGGUUGUUUCUGCUUCUAUUGAUUUUAUAUCAGCACGUUUAAGCUCAGAUGCCUCCCUGCAGGCUCUCAGAAACAGCCUUUCUAUAAUGUACCUCAUUGUUCCUCCAAUUCUGAACCCUCUCAUUUAUGGUCUGAAACUGAAGCAGCUUCGUAGGAUUGUGUGGAGUCGAUUCAACAGCAGAAUUACUGCACUGAAAUAACCAAGGAUGGCACAGAAGUUCAGGAGGGGGUCACACUGUCGCCUCACACCUCCAGGAUUGGGAAUUAGAAUCUUUACUCUGCUUUCUGUGCAUGCAUUAUUUUCUCUAUGUUAAGUGGUGUUCCUUUUACAGUGCAAAACACACAAUUGGUGUAAUUUGUGUCUCCACAUUUUCCAUCAAUGUGCAUCUUUGUGACCUAUGAUGUUCUUGUAUCUUAUGUAGAGAGUACCCCAGCCUUGUGCCCUAAGCUGCCUGGGAUUGGUACCAGGCCCCCCGUGACCCUGAACAGUAUAAGCUUUUAGAUGUUUGUCAUAAGUGUAUAUAUGUAUUUGCCUGUACCGAGGUCCCUAGCGUGGUCAUUAAUGUCAUCUAAGUCCUGACAGUGUUUACUGUCGUCUUUGCUUUGUUCCCCUUUGUUUAGUCUGUAAGUGUGUCCAUGGUCCUAGUGCCCUGGACCUGUACCUGACACUCCCCUUGUUAUCCAAGCCCCUAGACUCUCCUUAUUGUUUCUCCCUGCCUUUGUUAGACCCUCGUGUUCCUUUAGUUUCUUUUAGUUUGUGUGUUUGGACUCUCAAUAAAGUCCUUCAGUUCAUUUGCAUGCUGCUUUCCUGGCUCUCCAUCUAUCCAGUUGUCACAAUUCCAUAAGUUAAUGGUUAGAUUAAUAAUUAUACUGACCCUGUCGUCAUUCAAAACUGCAUUCUUGUUGAAGAGUACACAUUUGAUAUUAAUGUGGUAUUAGUGUAAAUGAAAUAUAUGAUGCUGGUGAUACAUCAUUAAAUCAAUUCAGGGCUUCAUCAUAAAUGACCACACUUGUACAAUUUCCCUUUAGAGCUAUUUAUUGUAGGACUGUGAUUGUCAUGUUUUCCUGGGCUUUUCCUGGGCAGCCGACUGACGAGUCGGAGUGAGGGGAUCCGCAGGUGACCGACAAAGCGUCGGAGCCAAGGUCAAAGGCGACCAAUGAGGCAUUGGAGGGGGACCCACAGGUGACCGCCGAGCAGGAGCCCAGGGAACUGCAGGUAACCACCAGGCAGGAACCGGAGGACCCGCAGGCACCCCUCGAGCCACAGUCAUAGGGACCAAGGGCGAGCCAGGGGGCAGGAUGGGCGGGACACGACCCCAGUGUAGGUGUCCUCUCCCUUUCCGGAAGACCGAAAGGUGAGGACCCGGCCAGGAUCUGCCAUGUUGGGGUGUUGGCUGGGGUGACCCAAUGGAAGAGUACACUGGGGCCAUCAGGUUAAUCCCCAAAGGGUCCCACUCAAGCUCCACCUCCACCAAGGGGAGAGAGGCUGGUGUCUGACAGUUGGGGACCUCCUCCUGCCCAUCUGACCCUCCAGUUUUCUCCCUAGCGUGACCCUA